UGUCAUGUCUAAAUUAAUUUUUGCUUAUUAGUAUGAUUGAAUCUGAUAAUCGAAUCUCAGCAGCAAAGACCUUGGUUAAUAAAAUGGUAUUAAAUUCAUAAAGGAUAUUUGUGUUAUUUACCAUUCAAUUGUUGCAGAUUUGCGUCAUAUUCUGAGUUUGCAUU